rnacentral:rRNA from 1 species
GAUGAACGCUGGCGGCGUGCCUAAUACAUGCAAGUCGAGCGAACGGACGAGAAGCUUGCUUCUCUGAUGUUAGCGGCGGACGGGUGAGUAACACGUGGAUAACCUACCUAUAAGACUGGGAUAACUUCGGGAAACCGGAGCUAAUACCGGAUAAUAUUUUGAACCGCAUGGUUCAAAAGUGAAAGACGGUCUUGCUGUCACUUAUAGAUGGAUCCGCGCUGCAUUAGCUAGUUGGUAAGGUAACGGCUUACCAAGGCAACGAUGCAUAGCCGACCUGAGAGGGUGAUCGGCCACACUGGCACUGAGACACGGUCCAGACUCCUACGGGAGGCAGCAGUAGGGAAUCUUCCGCAAUGGGCGAAAGCCUGAACGAGCAACGCCCCGUGAGUGAUGAAAGUCUUCGGAUCGUAAAACUCUGUUAUUAGGGAAGAACAUAUGUGUAAGUAACUGUGCACAUCUUGACGGUACCUAAUCAGAAAGCCACGGCUAACUACGUGCCAGCAGCCGCGGUAAUACGUANGUGGCAAGCGUUAUCCGGAAUUAUUGGGCGUAAAGCGCGCGUAGGCGGUUUUUUAGUCUGAUGUGAAAGCCCACGGCUCAACCGUGGAGGGUCAUUGGAAACUGGAAAACUCGAGUGCAGAAGAGGAAAGCGGAAUUCCAUGUGUAGCGGUGAAAUGCGCAGAGAUAUGGAGGAACACCAGUGGCGAAGGCGACUUUCUGGUCUGUAACUGACGCUGAUGUGCGAAAGCGUGGGGAUCAAACAGGAUUAGAUACCCUGGUAGUCCACGCCGUAAACGAUGAGUGCUAAGUGUUAGGGGGUUUCCGCCCCUUAGUGCUGUAGCUAACGCAUUAAGCACUCCGCCUGGGGAGUACGACCGCAAGGUUGAAACUCAAAGGAAUUGACGGGGACCCGCACAAGCGGUGGAGCAUGUGGUUUAAUUCGAAGCAACGCGAAGAACCUUACCAAAUCUUGACAUCCUUUGACCCUUCUAGAGAUAGAAGUUUCCCCUUCGGGGGACAAAGUGACAGGUGGUGCAUGGUUGUCGUCAGCUCGUGUCGUGAGAUGUUGGGUUAAGUCCCGCAACGAGCGCAACCCUUAAGCUUAGUUGCCAUCAUUAAGUUGGGCACUCUAAGUUGACUGCCGGUGACAAACCGGAGGAAGGUGGGGAUGACGUCAAAUCAUCAUGCCCCUUAUGAUUUGGGCUACACACGUGCUACAAUGGACAAUACAAAGGGCAGCGAAACCGCGAGGUCAAGCAAAUCCCAUAAAGUUGUUCUCAGUUCGGAUUGUAGUCUGCAACUCGACUACAUGAAGCUGGAAUCGCUAGUAAUCGUAGAUCAGCAUGCUACGGUGAAUACGUUCCCGGGUCU